rnacentral:rRNA from 1 species
AACGCGAAGAACCUUACCUGGAUUUGACAUGCAUUUGACAGCUUCAGAAAUGAAGUCUUCUCGCAAGAGACAGAUGCACAGGUGCUGCAUGGCUGUCGUCAGCUCGUGCCGUGAGGUGUUGGGUUAAGUCCCGCAACGAGCGCAACCCUUGUCGUUAGUUGCCAGCACGUAAUGGUGGGCACUCUAGCGAGACUGCCUCGGUUAACGGGGAGGAAGGUGAGGAUGACGUCAAGUCCGCAUGGCCUUUAUGUCCAGGGCUACACACGUACUACAAUGGUCGGUACAGAAGGGUGCGAAGCCGUGAGGUGGAGCAAAUCCUCAAAGCCGGCCCCAGUUCAGAUUGUAGUCUGCAACUCGACUACAUGAAGAUGGAAUUGCUAGUAAUGGCAGGUCAGCAUUACUGCCGUGAAUACGUUCCCGGGCCUUGUACACACCGCGAGC